GGGGGGUAAUGGCUCACCAAGGCAUCGACGGGUAGCUGGUCUGAGAGGAUGAUCAGCCACACUGGGACUGAGACACGGCCCAGACUCCUACGGGAGGCAGCAGUGGGGAAUCUUGCACAAUGGGCGCAAGCCUGAUGCAGCAACGCCGCGUGCGGGAAGAAGGCCUUAGGGUUGUAAACCGCUUUCAGUAGGGAAGAAAAUGACGGUACCUACAGAAGAAGGUGCGGCCAACUACGUGCCAGCAGCCGCGGUAACACGUAGGGGGCAAGCGUUGUCCGGAUUUAUUGGGCGUAAAGGGCUCGUAGGCUGUUCAGUAAGUCAGGUGUGAAAACCCAAGGCUCAACCUUGGGACGCCACUUGAUACUGCUGUGACUAGAGUCCGGUAGAGGAGAUUGGAAUUCCUGGUGUAGCGGUGAAAUGCGCAGAUAUCAGGAGGAACACCAACGGCGAAGGCAGAUCUCUGGGCCGGUACUGACGCUGAGGAGCGAAAGCAUGGGGAGCAAACAGGAUUAGAUACCCUGGUAGUCCAUGCCGUAAACGUUGGGCACUAGGUGUGGGGUCUAUUCAACGGAUUCCGUGCCGCAGCUAACGCAUUAAGUG
rnacentral:rRNA from 1 species